rnacentral:rRNA from 1 species
CUUCCUAAACACACCACCCUGAAUGUGCCUGAUCUCAUUUGAUCACAGAAGCUAAGCAGGGUCAGGCCUGGUUAGUUCUUGGUUGGGAGA